CAAAAACUUCUUUACUCCUCUAUAAUACCAAAAACCGAUACAGAAAUAACAUAGAAAGCCUGAUUUUCUUUCCCUUUACUAUCCACCAAUAGAUGCUGCCCCUCCUCCCCCCCAAAAGGACUGGGAGUAAAGUAAGAAAAUAGACCCAGGUUUGUUUCGUUUAAAGGAGGAUGCAAUUUUUUGCCCGUGAAUGCAUUUUCUCAAAAUGCUUUGGCUUCAUUCCCCCUUUGGUAGAGAAUAUCAACGGAUUUGCUAAUGUGAGUUGCUUUUAGAUUGGCCUGUGGUUUUCCGUUCUUUUUAUUUCUUUCCUCCCCUUUAGACAUUUUUUUCUACUUCAAAAAAAAAAAAAGAAUUAUAAAUAACUGGAAAAGGAAAUUACCCUAGGUCCUCUCUCUCUCUUCUUCUUCUUCUUCUUCCUUUUUUUCUUUUUCUUUUCUUUUUUUUUUUUUUUUUUUUGUUGUUGUUUAGCCUUUAUUUAAGUCUGGUUUUCUUUUGUCUUUAUCACUUCAUAAAGUAGCGCAAUUAAAGAUGUGAUGUUGCCUGGGUACAAAGGCUGGAUCUAUAAUACGGCGACAUAAUACGCCGUAUUCUCGCCUGAAAGUUUGCAGCUAAAUUACGAUUUCGCCUUUUCUAGACUUCAAAAAAUCAAUAUUUUCUCAAUUAAAGAGAAUUUUAAUGCUUUACUUGCGAGUUGUUAAAGGCGUUAUAAAUUUUAUUGUGAUGCUUCUUGGCUUCGGAGUAGAUGCAGGAGACCGGUUGAUUCUCGUGGUCUUUUUCCUCUCAGAGAACCUAGUCCAGAAACGUCCAGGGUGUCAGAUCAAAUCCAAGCAACAAAGCUUCGCCAGAGAAAACUCGCGGGGAGCUCGGCCUCUGUCAGUAAAGUCCCCGAGGAUCGCCCGCGGCGUCCAGUUCCUCGUCCGGAACGACCCUUCCCUGCACCUCUAAGAAGUGCGGGUCCGCGUCUGAUUUUUUGCCCCCGAACCAGACAAUGUUUAAAAGUUGUCCCCCACCUGCCCACCUGCCCACCUGUGCACACGCACACGCACACGCACACACACGGCCCUUUCGCGCGUGUCCCCUUCCUCCUCCGCCCGCGCGGCUCCGUGUUGCUGGAGGCGGAGAGGGCGGCCGAGGCGCCCCGCACGAACCCGCCGGCGCCUCUGACACUUGGUCGCAGCCUCGCGCUCCACGUCAAGCGUAAGUGUGGGGCUCGUGCUCUCCGGAGGGUCGGGGCCGCCCCCCACGGCGGGGCCUGCGGGCUGUUUCGCGCCUCCCGCUCGCUCCGCGCGGCCGCGGUCCCGCGAGGGCGCGCAGGUCGCGGAGCCGGGCGGGCUCGGGCUGCCUCUGCUCGGGGAGGCGGGCCCCAGCCCCUCGGGCCGGUCCUCGGAGCGCGGCCAGACCCACGCAGGGAGCGCGGGUCCGGGGCGGACCGAGCCGAGGGGCCGCUCUCGGAAGGGAGCUCGGGGCCCGCGGUUUGGUGCAGACCGCUCCGGGGACCGGGCGCCGCGGCGCGGGGGAGACCUGGGGCCCCGGACGCGCGCGUCCUGCCAGGCCGCCGCGGGCUCCUCGGUCACUGAUGUGCUCGCUUCUUUGGCUCGUCCCUGGACGCCCCCCGUGUCACACCUUCUCCAGCGCUCCCCUUGGGGAUGCCCUGAACCGAGACGGGGGCCAGGGGACGUCAGGGAAGGAGCGCUCCUGGGGCAAGGCGGAGGCGGCCCGGGUCCUCGCGCCACGCACGGGCUGCCUCCUCCUCCUCCUCCUCCUCCUCCUCCGGGUCGUGUUUCAAGAAUUACUGGGGCUAUUGUGACAACUGAGGUAAAUUACAUAUUUAUGCUCCCAAGUUUUUAUCAUCAUCGUCAUCGUCAUCAUCGUCAUCAUCAUCAUCGUUUGGUCUGUUGCGAAGAAGUUCAGGGAGUCCAAACUUCUCUAACUAUAAAUCCUGGUCUGGGCGGGGGUGGGGCGGGGCGGGGGGAGCAGAACCUGCCACCUGCCACCUGCCACUGAAGCUGACCUUUGCAAAGGACUUCAUCAAGCUCAGAAGUGGAAGGAAAGUUAUCUGCAAACAGUGCUGGUUCCUUUAAAUACGUGUGUAUAUAUAAAGCACCCCUUUAAAACAUAUCUGCAUCCACCUACCUAGGAUAAAGAAAAGGAAGCAAAUGUCCCCCAAUGCAAUUGAACCCAAGUAAAAAUAUUCCCAGUAAGAUACUCUCACAGAUGAAGAAAAUAUGAACAUCGCAUUGUAUUUGUCUCAGUUGGACUUAAUGAAAUUUGGAGACACUGACAGUCUGGUCAAUGUUCUACGUAAACUAAUGCAAAGGUCCUUAGGAAGAGACUGAAGACACCUCUUGCCAUUAAUCUUCAACCACUUGAAGAUUAUGAUUAAAUGAAUGGGAUCACUAAGCAUUAUCAUUUCAAAUAGCCGUUAACUGUCUCCACCCCUGUAUUGUGGCAACAAAAUAAACUCUCCGGGAGGAAUGGUGUUCCUUCCUUUUUUAUCUUUGCUUUUGUUGGGCUCUAAGAAGAAAGGGGGAAGACAGAAGAAAAGAAAACCAACUCGAAAGUCUUGGAUUUCCUGCUGUUAAAAAGCUGCUGUUUGUUUCUGAUUUCCUCUGUCUUUUGCUACACAGGAAAAAGAAAUCGAAUGAUAUGUCUACAUUUGAUGAGAACUAAACACUACAACAACAGUGAAGGUGCAUUUGCUGUAUUUUCUUUUCCCCUUGAAAAAAAAUUUUUUAAGAAAAAAAAAUCCACCAAUUUAGCGGGCUGAAAAUUGAAAGGUGCUCACUUGUCCACAUCUAUUUGCUGACUUUCAUCACUUGAAUUUGUAGGCUUUUGCGUCAAACAGAAAUUAUGGAAAAGAGAAUUAGACACUUGCCAAAGAGCAACAAUAUUAUACACUUUCAAGUAAAUUCCACCUAAUCCUGUAUUUGAGUGCUGAGGGGGUGUGUGCUAUUUUCCCCUAAUAAACCUCAAAGCCCUCAUUAGACAUAGAGAAAGAGGGGUGGAGAACUCUAUUACCGGGCAUUCUGACAAAAAAAAAAAAAAAAAAAAAAAAAAAAAUGGAAGCAGCUCCUCUCUGCUCCUGGAGCCCUAGGAGAGGACGCCCCAAAAUUAUGCAAAAGCCGCAGUGUUUUCCCUGAGAGCCCCGAGUUGGGCAGACCUUUCAGAGAAAUGCAUAGAAAUUAACAUCAUAAAAAAGCAAAAUGUUGAAACAAAAGGCAGUGGCUAACAACCACCACCACAGAACCCGCUAAAAUUAUUCUUCCAAACCCUGUGAAUUUCCAGAUGCCACAGAAAAUCAAUGCGAAAGCGCCCCCCCCCCCAACCGAGUAGACAGCUCUCCUGCGGGGUGGGGUCUCCAGCCGAAAGUGGAGUUGGAGAUCCCACCUCCCCCGAGCAGGGGGGUCCCCCUGGGCCGCGGGGCGGGGAGGCAGGGGGUGCCCGGGUCCCCGGCCGUCGCCUCCACCUGUGCCCUCCCCCGCAGCUGGGGCGCCCAGGCGGAGCAGCCGGGCCCAUUCUGUGCCCCGAGUCUCCGGGGGGUCCCGCGAGCUGGGGCUCCUGCCGGGCCGGGAGGAAGCCCAAGUAGGUCCCCAGGGGCCGGAGAUUCGGCCCGAGGACGGAGGCUACUGGUCUGGGGUUCCUGCGACUGCGGGUCCCGGGCCGGGCGCCCGAGCCUGGUUGGACAAAAGGCUCGCAGGCCACGCCGAUCCCCGAGCGAGUGUGAAAUGCAAAGAAGGGGGGCAGUCUCCUCCCUCCCGUGUGUGUGCAUGUAUGUGUGUGCAUGUGCGCGUGUGCGUGCGUGUGUGGCCACGUGCACUUGGAGCGGGCCUCUGGCCGCGGGCGUCAGCCGGGGACGGUCACCCCCUGGCUCCCCGGGCCCGAACCACACCCACCCUCGCCCCCGCCCUCCCCGCCCCCCGCCG
rnacentral:lncRNA from 1 species